rnacentral:rRNA from 1 species
UACGGAGGGAGCUAGCGUUGUUCGGAAUUACUGGGCGUAAAGAGCGCGCAGGCGGUCGAUCAAGUCGAGUGUGAAAGCCCCCGGCUCAACUGGGGAGGGUCAUUCGAUACUGAUCGACUCGAAGGCAGGAGAGGGUAGUGGAAUUCCCGGUGUAGUGGUGAAAUGCGUAGAUAUCGGGAGGAACACCAGUGGCGAAGGCGACUACCUGGCCUGUUCUUGACGCUGAGGCGCGAAAGCUAGGGGAGCAAACGGG